AAAUUGAAGAGUUUGAUCAUGGCUCAGAUUGAACGCUGGCGGCAGGCCUAACACAUGCAAGUCGAACGGUAACAGAAGCAGCUUGCUGCUUUGCUGACGAGUGGCGGACGGGUGAGUAAUGUCUGGGAAACUGCCUGAUGGAGGGGGAUAACUACUGGAAACGGUAGCUAAUACCGCAUAACGUCGCAAGACCAAAGAGGGGGACCUUCGGGCCUCUUGCCAUCGGAUGUGCCCAGAUGGGAUUAGCUUGUUGGUGGGGUAACGGCUCACCAAGGCGACGAUCCCUAGCUGGUCUGAGAGGAUGACCAGCCACACUGGAACUGAGACACGGUCCAGACUCCUACGGGAGGCAGCAGUGGGGAAUAUUGCACAAUGGGCGCAAGCCUGAUGCAGCCAUGCCGCGUGUAUGAAGAAGGCCUUCGGGUUGUAAAGUACUUUCAGCGGGGAGGAAGGGAGUAAAGUUAAUACCUUUGCUCAUUGACGUUACCCGCAGAAGAAGCACCGGCUAACUCCGUGCCAGCAGCCGCGGUAAUACGGAGGGUGCAAGCGUUAAUCGGAAUUACUGGGCGUAAAGCGCACGCAGGCGGUUUGUUAAGUCAGAUGUGAAAUCCCCGGGCUCAACCUGGGAACUGCAUCUGAUACUGGCAAGCUUGAGUCUCGUAGAGGGGGGUAGAAUUCCAGGUGUAGCGGUGAAAUGCGUAGAGAUCUGGAGGAAUACCGGUGGCGAAGGCGGCCCCCUGGACGAAGACUGACGCUCAGGUGCGAAAGCGUGGGGAGCAAACAGGAUUAGAUACCCUGGUAGUCCACGCCGUAAACGAUGUCGACUUGGAGGUUGUGCCCUUGAGGCGUGGCUUCCGGAGCUAACGCGUUAAGUCGACCGCCUGGGGAGUACGGCCGCAAGGUUAAAACUCAAAUGAAUUGACGGGGGCCCGCACAAGCGGUGGAGCAUGUGGUUUAAUUCGAUGCAACGCGAAGAACCUUACCUGGUCUUGACAUCCACGGAAGUUUUCAGAGAUGAGAAUGUGCCUUCGGGAACCGUGAGACAGGUGCUGCAUGGCUGUCGUCAGCUCGUGUUGUGAAAUGUUGGGUUAAGUCCCGCAACGAGCGCAACCCUUAUCCUUUGUUGCCAGCGGUCCGGCCGGGAACUCAAAGGAGACUGCCAGUGAUAAACUGGAGGAAGGUGGGGAUGACGUCAAGUCAUCAUGGCCCUUACGACCAGGGCUACACACGUGCUACAAUGGCGCAUACAAAGAGAAGCGACCUCGCGAGAGCAAGCGGACCUCAUAAAGUGCGUCGUAGUCCGGAUUGGAGUCUGCAACUCGACUCCAUGAAGUCGGAAUCGCUAGUAAUCGUGGAUCAGAAUGCCACGGUGAAUACGUUCCCGGGCCUUGUACACACCGCCCGUCACACCAUGGGAGUGGGUUGCAAAAGAAGUAGGUAGCUUAACCUUCGGGAGGGCGCUUACCACUUUGUGAUUCAUGACUGGGGUGAAGUCGUAACAAGGUAACCGUAGGGGAACCUGCGGUUGGAUCACCUCCUUA
rnacentral:rRNA from 1 species